rnacentral:rRNA from 1 species
GCCAUGCAUGUCUAAGUAUAAGCUUUUAUACGGUGAAACUGCGAAUGGCUCAUUAAAACAGUUAUAGUUUAUUUGAUGGUCGCUCACUACAUGGAUAACCGUGGUAAUUCUAGAGCUAAUACAUGCGUCAAAACCUGACUUCUCGGAAGGGUUGUGUUUAUUAGAUACAAAACCAAUCCAUGCUUGCAUGGUAUUGUGUUGAUUCAUAAUAACCGAUCGAAUCGCAUGGCGUAAGCCGGCGAUAAAUCAUUCAAGUUUCUGACCUAUCAACUUCCGACGGUAGGGUAUUGGCCUACCGUGGCUAUGACGGGUAACGGGGAAUUAGGGUUCGAUUCCGGAGAGGGAGCCUGAGAAACGGCUACCACAUCUAAGGAAGGCAGCAGGCGCGCAAAUUACCCAAUCCUGACACAGGGAGGUAGUGACAAGAAAUAACAAUACAGGGCAUUCUAUGUCUUGUAAUUGGAAUGAGUAGAUUUUAAACCUCUUUACGAGUAUCAAUUGGAGGGCAAGUCUGGUGCCAGCAGCCGCGGUAAUUCCAGCUCCAAUAGCGUAUAUUAAAGUUGUUGCAGUUAAAAAGCUCGUAGUUGGAUUUCUGUUCAAGACGACCGGUCCGCCUAUGGUGUGAUUCUGGUUUGACUUGGGCAUUUUUCUGGGGAACGUAGCUGCACUUGAGUGUGUGGUGCGGUAUCCAGGACUUUUACUUUGAGAAAAUUAGAGUGUUUCAAGCAGGCAUCUGCCUUGAAUACUACAGCAUGGAAUAAUGACAUAGGACUUCGGUUCUAUUUUGUUGGUUUCUGGGA